UACGUAGGGUGCAAGCGUUAAUCGGAAUUACUGGGCGUAAAGCGUGCGCAGGCGGUUGUGUAAGACAGAUGUGAAAUCCCCGGGCUCAACCUGGGAACUGCAUUUGUGACUGCAUGGCUAGAGUUUGGCAGAGGGGGGUAGAAUUCCACGUGUAGCAGUGAAAUGCGUAGAUAUGUGGAGGAACACCGAUGGCGAAGGCAGCCCCUGGGUCAAGACUGACGCUCAUGCACGAAAGCGUGGGGAGCAACAGG
rnacentral:rRNA from 1 species